rnacentral:rRNA from 1 species
AGCGAACGCUGGCGGCAGGCUUAACACAUGCAAGUCGAGCGGGCAUCUUCGGAUGUCAGCGGCAGACGGGUGAGUAACACGUGGGAACGUACCCUUCGGUUCGGAACAACUCUGGGAAACUGGAGCUAAUACCGGAUACGCCCUUAUGGGGAAAGGUUUACUGCCGAAGGAUCGGCCCGCGUCUGAUUAGCUAGUUGGUGGGGUAACGGCCUACCAAGGCGACGAUCAGUAGCGGGUCUGAGAGGAUGAACAGCCACACUGGGACUGAGACACGGCCCAGACUCCUACGGGAGGCAGCAGUGGGUAAUAUUGGACAAUGGGCUCAAGCCUGAUCCAGCCAGGCCGCGUGAGUGAUGAAGUCCUUAGGGUUGUAAAGCUCUUUUGUCCGGGACGAUAAUGACGGUACCGGAAGAAUAAGCCCCGGCUAACUUCGUG